UACGUCUAGGGUUGAGAACCAUGGAAUGAAGUUCUCUGUUGACUGAUGGGAGUGGGGUGGUGGAUGGCUACAGGUGGGCGGUAAAGGAUUGCUGAGCAGCACUGAGGGCCUAGGUAAAGUCAGAGACCAAGUAUUAGUAGUCCCAAUCCCCAAGGCUGUGUGACUUUCCAGUAGGGCCCAGCAGUUCUGGGGAGCUUUUUUUUUUUUUUUUGAGAUGGAGUCUCGCUCUGUUGCCCAGGCUGGAGUGCAGUGGUGUGAUCACGGCUCACUGCUACCUCUGUCUCCCAGGUUCAAGUGAUUCUCCUGCCUCAGCCUCCCGAGUAGCUGGGAUUAUAGGCACCCGCCACCACACCCGACUAAUUU
rnacentral:lncRNA from 10 species